UACGAAGGGGGCUAGCGUUGCUCGGAAUCACUGGGCGUAAAGCGCACGUAGGCGGACUCUUAAGUCGGUGGUGAAAUCCUGGAGCUCAACUCCAGAACUGCCUUCGAUACUGAGAGUCUCGAGUCCGGGAGAGGUGAGUGGAACUGCGAGUGUAGAGGUGAAAUUCGUAGAUAUUCGCAAGAACACCAGUGGCGAAGGCGGCUCACUGGCCCGGUACUGACGCUGAGGUGCGAAAGCGUGGGGGAGCAAACAGGG
rnacentral:rRNA from 1 species